CAGCAGCCGCGGUAAUACCGGCGGCCCGAGUGGCGGUCACUAUUAUUGGGCUUAAAGCGUCCGUAGCCGGGUUGGGAAGUCCUCCGGGAAAUCUGGCCGCUUAACGGUCAGAAUGCCGGAGGAUACUCCCAGCCUAGGGAGCGGGAGAGGCCGAGGGGAUUCCCGGGGUAGGGGGGAAAUCCUAUAAUCCCGGGAGGACCACCUGUGGCGAAGGCGCUCGGCUGGGACGCGUCCGACGGUGAGGGACGAAGGCCAGGGGAGCAAACCGGAUUAGAUACCCGGGUAGUCCUGGCUGUAAACGAUGCGGACUUUGUGUCGGACAAGCUAUGAGCUUGUCCGGUGCCGGAGGGAAACCGUUAAGUCCGCCGCCUGGGGAGUACGGCCGCAAGGCUGAAACUUAAAGGAAUUGGCGGG
rnacentral:rRNA from 1 species